UUGAUAUCUAGUUUCUUCAGCUGUAUUGAACGAUAUGUUAAAACUGACGCGUGUGGGGCAUGUAUUGAACUCUCGCAUAAGUGGCAAUAUCAAUAGAAAUUCAAGCGCAUUCUACUGUUUUAAUUAAUAUAAAUAGAGUCUAUCCAUUCACAAUAUCUCGAAUAGUGGUUAUAAGAAAGAUUUGCUGUAAUACGGAGUCGGAUUGAAUUGACGAUAAAAUGGCUUUAAAAUUCAUCUCUAUUCUGCUUAUAAUGUCUCAAAGACCCGACGUUCCUUAUACUUCUGUGCAAGAAUCCAGAAAAUACGUUUCAAAUCAAGCAGAUCCUGUAUCAGUGGGACUAACACGUACAUUUUUUCUACGGUUUGUAGACUACCCCAAGCCUGUGUUUAAAUGGGUGUGUCCAGGUGACGUAAAUACUUUAUGUGAAAAUUCGAGGGUUGUGAUAACAAAUACAAACUACACCUCUUCUUUAACUAUAAGUGAUAUAACACCCAGUGAUUAUGGUCUGUAUAAACUAUACGCUAUCAACGUGGAAGAAAUGGAACAUAGAUUUUUUCCCUUUUAUUUGAUAAAUCCAGAGAAACGACAACGGUUGUGGAGAAGACUAAACUAUCAUAAACAGAACGCUGUUUAAAAAAAAAACCUGAUUUUAUUUCUUGCUAAAAUGAAACCGGGGGGGGGGGGGCUCAGUGAGUAAGACGUGGACUUAGGUGUUUCUCGGUGUUGGCCGUGAAAGUUCAUCGGUCUUUUCCGGCGUGAUUUGUGCUGUCAGUGCUGUGGUACAUGGCGAAUGGGAAGAGAAACCUCCGUUGUCCAAUGUAAGCGUUGGCGUGCUCCGAAAAGAACAGACCGUAGCGCCACUGUCCCUGCAAAAUGUGUCCCUCAUAGCACACUGUAUGAUGUAUGCCCCGCGUCUUCAUUAGCUAAGUCUGUGCAAAACAGUAGGACAUUAAACCCCAUUCCAUUGCGUGACCAGAAGACUAUUUUUAAAAACGUAUGGUACUUGAUAUAAUGAAGUGACUUGUCUGGUUUCUUGGAGCUCAAAAUACACUUUUUUAGAUAUUCAAUUAUUUCAUUCCUGUAAAUAUAACAUUAAAUUAAACACAAAAGUUGUAUGUAAAACAAUUACUGUAUCUUAAUUGGAGCUACGUUUCUACAAUGAUUCUCUUAUGAUUGUGCAUGAAAACGACAAGAACACGUAGCUCCGGUUAAAAUGCAGUGAUUGUUUUCCAUAGAACAGUUAUGUUUAUUUUAGUGUGUUAAAUUACUAAAUGUCGUUUAAUCAGUAAAAUAAAACUUUAUUUGCUACUGUUAA